rnacentral:rRNA from 1 species
GACGAACGCUGGCGGCGUGCUUAACACAUGCAAGUCGAGCGGUAAGGCCCUUUCGGGGGUACACGAGCGGCGAACGGGUGAGUAACACGUGGGUGACCUGCCUUUAGCUCUGGGAUAAGCCUGGGAAACCGGGUCUAAUACCGGAUAUGACUCCGCGGCGCAUGUUGUGGGGUGGAAAGCCUUGUGCGGCUGGAGAUGGGCCCGCGGCCUAUCAGCUUGUUGGUGGGGUGAUGGCCUACCAAGGCGACGACGGUAGCCGGCCUGAGAGGGCGACCGGCCACACUGGGACUGAGACACGGCCCAGACUCCUACGGGAGGCAGCAGUGGGGAAUCUUGCGCAAUGGCGAAAGCCUGACGCAGCGACGCCGCGUGAGGGAUGACGGCCU